UACGUAGGGGGCAAGCGUUAAUCGGAAUUACUGGGCGUAAAGCGUGCGCAGGCGGUUUUGUAAGUCUGUCGUGAAAUCCCCGGGCUCAACCUGGGAAUGGCGAUGGAGACUGCAAGGCUAGAGUUUGGCAGAGGGGGGUAGAAUUCCACGUGUAGCAGUGAAAUGCGUAGAUAUGUGGAGGAACACCGAUGGCGAAGGCAGCUCGCUGGGACGGUACUGACGCUGAGGCGCGAAAGCGUGGGGAGCGAACAGG
rnacentral:rRNA from 1 species